AUUGAACGCUGGCGGCAUGCUUUACACAUGCAAGUCGAACGGCAGCGCGGGCUUCGGCCUGGCGGCGAGUGGCGAACGGGUGAGUAAUGCAUCGGAACGUGCCCAGUAGUGGGGGAUAGCCCGGCGAAAGCCGGAUUAAUACCGCAUACGACCUGAGGGUGAAAGCGGGGGACCGAAAGGCCUCGCGCUAUUGGAGCGGCCGAUGUCGGAUUAGCUAGUUGGUAAGGUAACGGCUUACCAAGGCAACGAUGCGUAGCCGACCUGAGAGGGUGAUCGGCCACACUGGAACUGAGACACGGUCCAGACUCCUACGGGAGGCAGCAGUAGGGAAUCUUCCGCAAUGGGCGAAAGCCUGACGGAGCAACGCCGCGUGAGUGAUGAAGGUCUUCGGAUCGUAAAACUCUGUUAUUAGGGAAGAACAAAUGUGUAAGUAACUAUGCACGUCUUGACGGUACCUAAUCAGAAAGCCACGGCUAACUACGUG
rnacentral:rRNA from 1 species